rnacentral:hammerhead_ribozyme from 1 species
AUUGAACUGACGAGUCCUAAAUAGGAUGAAACCUGCGUCCUGUAU